rnacentral:misc_RNA from 1 species
UGGGAAGUGAGACAUUUCUAUAACUAUAAUUUCGUCUCAGGUAUUAAAAUGGCAAACCAUUAUCUCAUUGCUGACGAUCAACCUUUGCUCCAAAGCAAUGAUAAGUUAGUGUUUAGCGUAUUUACCUUGAUUAAUCAUUGAAACAUUCGACGCCAUUUUGAUUUUAUAAUUUUGAAACCAACAGUAAUUUUGGAGGAUAUUUAGAUUAUUGUACAAAGUAGAAUGCUCUCUUUGGGCAAUAACUAAGAACAUCAUGAGGAGCGUAGCUGCCGUGGUAUUCGCGGUGGCCCUGGUGGCCUUAGCUGGGCUGGAAGCUCAGAGAAGUAAUGGUAAAUUCGAUUGGAUGAGCUAUGACAAUUUUGAUCAGAUUAUUGAUAGGAUGGACAGCGUCACUCCGGAGAACUGUAACUCUAAACCAUCAGCUGAACUGAGACUCCACCCAGAUACAGUAUCACAGCUUCCCCUCACUAACAGACUUCUAAGUACUAUUAUUUAUCCUAACAGGACAUCUUUACUUCAUCUACACAAUAUGGCGCUCAAUCGGGCGUUCUUUCAUAGCUACGUUAACCAGAUUCUCAAUAACUCCCAGGUUGACCAUAAAAUGCAGCCCGGUCUCAUGUACUUCUAUUUCUCGACGGAGGCUGAUAUUGCCGCCAACCCCUGGGGCAUUAACGGAUCGGCCGUUAUGUUCGACAACAACUGCAGUUACGCCAACUGGUACACCAAUCUGGAAUUCAACAACACGCUGCCAUUAUUCGGACCCCGAGCCUGGCGUUUCGACGACUACAACGAUCCAACAAACUGGCUACGUGAACCAACAAAUGAAACGCUGAACAUCGAUGACUAUGGUGCAGGACCAGAACACAAUUAUAGUAACCCAUCCUAUAAAAUAAACCAGUGGUAUGACUACUGGAUGCCUGAUUAUGACCCCUCCAGGGACUCAGUCAUGAAACAUACCUAUACCGUAGGGAUAAAGUUCUCCAAUGAGACCGGGAGGUUCGUAAAUGAUGAGUUCGAGGGGAGAUCGUUCUUUGGUCCACCACAGCCAAGUCAGAACUCUCCAGAAGAGGAUCUACCGGUCAGAUUUACAGCCCCCUAUUACGAUUGUGGUCGCUCUAACAAGUGGAUUAUGUCUGCCACUGCCCCCGUCCUAGACUAUCUUCCUAGAUACCUAGAAUGGAUGCAUCUACGACGGCAAAGGUUCGUUGCCGCCACUGUGCUGGACAUAGAUUUCCUGACCCUGGAUUUCAACCCCUGCCCGACAGCUCAGGGUAACCCAGCCCCUAAUUACUUCGCAAACACCGCCAGGUGCAAGCCUUCGACGAUUUGUGAGCCAUUGAUGGGGUAUGGAUUUCAACGGGGAGGCUACAUUUGCAUGUGCAGACCAGGCUACCGAUACCCACGUUGGCAGAAUGGGCCCUAUCUGGGAGUGGACAUAGAGAGAGCUACGGAGGAGGAAUACCAGUAUGGAUUCGAAUGUGAAAAAGUGGACUGGCGUGUGGUUAUUCCUAUAAUCGACGGAAGUGACAACAUGCCAACAACAGUUGCAACUAAGUAUGCCGUUAACAAGCGCGAUAUUUCCCAACUGUCAGCAGGUGGCUCUGUGGAUGAGCCCCAUAAUGCACCUGUGGUAAGCAGACGAAAACGAUCUGUUUCGAGGUGGCAUGGUUCAGACAAGGCAGCUUUACUAAGUGCAUUGGGACUUAAAGAAUCGAACUUAAAGAAAGCCAAAUUAUCACCAAGGAAACGUAUGGCUCCAAAGGUUUCCACAAAGGUGGAAGAACCUCCUAAACGUGUAUGGGCGCCACGUCAUCAACGUGACACGUCAUCCUUUAGAGUGAAGCGUUCAUUCGACCAAGAAGCCAGAAGUAGAAUAGAGCGCAUCAUUGACCACAUGAACACAAUAAACAAAGAUAACUGUAAAAUAAAGACAAACACUGAACUUAAUCUCCCUGGAGACCUUGCCUUUGGUGCCAAAGAACAAUUGCAGAAUCAAGCCAGGACAGCCUUAAGGAUGGCUCACUUCCUUAGUAACUUCCUCGAAAAUGUCGACUUCUAUGAAGAGUAUGGUAACUUGCGAGGCGAUCGACCUUUGAAUUUCGAACUUUUGUUCGGUGAAGCCAUUGCUAAUGUUAUGGGUGAUUAUAAAAUAUUUGGAAGUGGUGUGUUCUUUGACACAGACAAGUUUAAAAACAUGGAUGGCACAACAAGGCAAUAUUUCGGACCAUAUUCUUGGAGAGGCAGUGGGACGAGAACUAUGGCGAUUGAUUAUGCAGGACAUGACGAGACCUACAUCGAAGACGCUUGGUUUGUGGAUGUUAAAGAACGUUGGCAGUCGAAUGUGUACGGUCUUAAGAAAUGGACGACUAAAGCCAUGUUGAGGUCCAACUUAUUUGGCACCAGUCUGAGGAGGUUCGAGCACUAUCCCAUGUACUAUCGAGCCCCAUCAAUGGAGGAUGGCCUUUGGUCCGCACCAUAUUUUGAUUGUGAUGGUUACAUUGAUGAUUGGGUAAUCACAUACAGUGUUCCGUUCUUCGGGAUGAACACACUGGGAACUAACAUAGAGUUUAAGGGUGUUGUUAUAGUUGAUGUGAAGCUUGAAGAACUUGACGUAAAUCAGUGCCCUGGGGAGUUCCAUGUUCCCAAUGCCUUUAAGUCUACUGCACGAUGUGAUUACGAAAGCACCUAUUGUGUACCUCUACCGGGUAAGAGGUUUACUCGUGGUGGCUACAAAUGCGAAUGUCUCCAAGGUUUCGAGUAUCCAUUCAACGACCGAGCCUGGUACUAUGAUGGUCAGACAAUGGAGGAAGAGUACGAUAAGAUGAUGCGUGGAGAAAGACAUAGGUUCAACACUCUCAAAUGCCGAGAGGCAGGGGCGCCAAGAGUUUCAAGUGGAUCAGUGUUGCUCAUAUCUGUAAUUGCUUCAAUCAUGGCGUUCUUUGGCCGAUAACAUAAAGAACAUGUCUAAUAAACUAAUGUACAGUCGGUAAUUGUCACAUGGAUCAUAUCAGCUCCGCCUUUUCUUUAGUUACACAGUGUCGGAAAUGAAUCUACUUGAAGUUUUGAAUUUUCAUGUGGAUAUUACUUCAUUCUCAAUGUUUGUUGGUUGUACAUGCAAUAGUGCAAAAUAACAGGAGAGUAGAUUCAUUCCAUUGUAAAUAGCACACAGGAAGAAAUACAAAAACUUCCGUAUGAGAUUGCCAUAUAUGGGACAUAGUAAAAGGCAUUAGGCAAUCACUUAUUGGUAUUUCAGUGUGUCAUGUGUAUAUAAAGUUUUUAUACUGCUUAACGUAUUUUUAUAAUAAGUAAAAAUAUCAUAUCUGGACGUUUAGAAAUAUUGCCUACAUUGUGCACUAAAUAUUCGCAUUUAGAUUCAUUUACGCGAUGUGGCAAAUAUAUUGUAAACUGUCAUAUAAUGAUUGUCUGUCAUCAGACGUUGAAAAUACAAGUGUUAUUACACAGAGAAAUUUAUUGACAUCUAUAAUUUGAAAAUGAUCAUCAGAUGCAUGGAUGAGUAAAUCUAGUCUUCAUAUUAAAUGUUACCUUACCAGUGUAAAGUCACAUUAAUUUUGCACCAAUGAAACGUUUGUUAUAUCCAUAACGAUGAAAAUAAUUUUAAACCCGGCCGUGUUGUUAACAUCAAGGUCAACACAGUAAAAAGGGAACCAAGGGGAGGUCACAUUUUCUAUUAUAGCUAGACAUGAUUUGUCUUGUACAAAGGUACCACAACGCUUGCCAAAAUUACAUUUUCUGAAUAUUCAUACCAAAAAUCGUAACACAUGCUACACAAUAGUAGCAAGAACCCAUGUUACACCCAUGCACAAAUCUUGUUAUUUCAAAGACACCAUCGAUAUAAAACCAAUAUAUCCCACUCCUUUGAUAUGGUAAAUAUCAGCUGUAACUGGUUUACUUAGUGGAAAGAAUUGUUUUAAAUGUAUUGUAAUAUUUUAUAAAAUGGCACUUUGAUUCUAAUACAUUUUAUAAUAAAAUAAAAUAAA